GGCGGCGUGCUUAACACAUGCAAGUCGAACGGAAAGGCCCCUUCGGGGGUACUCGAGUGGCGAACGGGUGAGUAACACGUGGGUAAUCUGCCCUGCACUUCGGGAUAAGCCUGGGAAACUGGGUCUAAUACCGGAUAGGACCCCGAGGCGCAUGCCUUGGGGUGGAAAGCUUUUGCGGUGUGGGAUGGGCCCGCGGCCUAUCAGCUUGUUGGUGGGGUGACGGCCUACCAAGGCGACGACGGGUAGCCGGCCUGAGAGGGUGUCCGGCCACACUGGGACUGAGAUACGGCCCAGACUCCUACGGGAGGCAGCAGUGGGGAAUAUUGCACAAUGGGCGCAAGCCUGAUGCAGCGACGCCGCGUGGGGGAUGACGGCCUUCGGGUUGUAAACCUCUUUCACCAUCGACGAAGGUCCGGGUUUUCUCGGAUUGACGGUAGGUGGAGAAGAAGCACCGGCCAACUACGUGCCAGCAGCCGCGGUAAUACGUAGGGUGCGAGCGUUGUCCGGAAUUACUGGGCGUAAAGAGCUCGUAGGUGGUUUGUCGCGUUGUUCGUGAAAUCUCACGGCUUAACUGUGAGCGUGCGGGCGAUACGGGCAGACUGGAGUACUGCAGGGGAGACUGGAAUUCCUGGUGUAGCGGUGGAAUGCGCAGAUAUCAGGAGGAACACCGGUGGCGAAGGCGGGUCUCUGGGCAGUAACUGACGCUGAGGAGCGAAAGCGUGGGGAGCGAACAGGAUUAGAUACCCUGGUAGUCCACGCCGUAAACGGUGGGUACUAGGUGUGGGUUUCCUUCCUUGGGAUCCGUGCCGUAGCUAACGCAUUAAGUACCCCGCCUGGGGAGUACGGCCGCAAGGCUAAAACUCAAAGGAAUUGACGGGGGCCCGCACAAGCGGCGGAGCAUGUGGAUUAAUUCGAUGCAACGCGAAGAACCUUACCUGGGUUUGACAUGCACAGGACGCGUCUAGAGAUAGGCGUUCCCUUGUGGCCUGUGUGCAGGUGGUGCAUGGCUGUCGUCAGCUCGUGUCGUGAGAUGUUGGGUUAAGUCCCGCAACGAGCGCAACCCUUGUCUCAUGUUGCCAGCGGGUAAUGCCGGGGACUCGUGAGAGACUGCCGGGGUCAACUCGGAGGAAGGUGGGGAUGACGUCAAGUCAUCAUGCCCCUUAUGUCCAGGGCUUCACACAUGCUACAAUGGCCGGUACAAAGGGCUGCGAUGCCGCGAGGUUAAGCGAAUCCUUUUAAAGCCGGUCUCAGUUCGGAUCGGGGUCUGCAACUCGACCCCGUGAAGUCGGAGUCGCUAGUAAUCGCAGAUCAGCAACGCUGCGGUGAAUACGUUCCCGGGCCUUGUACACACCGCCCGUCACGUCAUGAAAGUCGGUAACACCCGAAGCCAGUGGCCUAACCCUUGGGAGGGAGCUGUCGAAGGUGGGAUCGGCGAUUGGGACGAAGUCGUAACAAGGUAGCCG
rnacentral:rRNA from 1 species